rnacentral:rRNA from 1 species
UACGUAGGGGGCAAGCGUUGUUCGGAAUUACUGGGCGUAAAGGGCGCGUAGGCGGCACGGCAAGUCAGGAGUGAAAGCCCUGGGCUCAACCCGGGAACUGCUUUUGAAACUGCCGAGCUAGAGUGCGGAAGGGGCAACUGGAAUUCCCAGUGUAGCGGUGAAAUGCGUAGAUAUUGGGAAGAACACCUGAGGCGAAGGCGGGUUGCUGGGCCGACACUGACGCUGAGGCGCGAAAGCCAGGGGAGCAAACGGG